rnacentral:misc_RNA from 1 species
GGGCAAUAUCAGACGAAGGGAAGAAAAACACAAGGGAGUAACACAAGAUUGGACAGAAAGCCAGAGCCACCGCCCAAGAAACAACCUUGUGUGAUUUAUGAAGCACUGAAUUUCCCAGACCGAUACCCAGUAAUGACAUCCAAAGAAAUUCAAGAGUAUAGGAGGAAAAGGAACAUUAAAUUAAUUUUCACCUCGACAGACUGCCCAUCCUCCAAUGGACUGAACAAAAGGGUAAAUCAAACAUUAGUAAACAGGAUCA